AUUGAACGCUGGCGGCAGGCCUAACACAUGCAAGUCGAACGAGUGGCGGACGGGUGAGUAAUGUCUGGGAAACUGCCUGAUGGAGGGGGAUAACUACUGGAAACGGUAGCUAAUACCGCAUACCAUCGGAUGUGCCCAGAUGGGUUUAGCUAGUAGGUGGGGUAACGGCUCACCUAGGCGACGAUCCCUAGCUGGUCUGAGAGGAUGACCGGCCACACUGGAACUGUGACACGGUCCAGACUCCUACGGGAGGCAGCGGUGGGGAAUAUUGCACAAUGGGCGAAAGCCUGAUGCGGCCAUGCCGCGUAUAUGAAGAAGGCCUUCGGGUUGUAAAGUACUUUCAGCGGGGAGGCGUUACCCACCGAGAAAGCACCGGCUAACUCCGUGCCAGCAGCCGCGGUAAUAC
rnacentral:rRNA from 1 species